GAACGCCGUAUGAGUAGGAAACUCUCGUGUACGGUGUGAAAUGGGGGAAAAGUUGGAGAUAAUAUCAAAAACUUACCUAUCAUUAU
rnacentral:ncRNA from 1 species